AAUUCGAUUGAGUUUGAUCAUGGCUCAGGAUGAACGCUGGCGGUAUGCUUUACACAUGCAAGUCGAACGCAAGUUUUUAACUUGAGUGGCGGACGGGUGAGUAACACGUGAGAAUUCGCCUUUAGGCGGGGAAUAACCAUCGGAAACAAUGGCUAAUGCCCCAUAUGCUCGCAAGAGUGAAAGGAGUAAUCCACCCAAAGAGAAGCUCGCGGCUGAUUAGCUAGUUGGUAAGGUAAUGGCUUACCAAGGCGACGAUCAGUAGCUGGUUUGAGAGAACGAUCAGCCACACUGGAACUGAGACACGGUCCAGACUCCUACGGGAGGCAGCAGUGGGGAAUUUUCCGCAAUGGGCGAAAGCCUGACGGAGCAAUACCGCGUGAGGGAUGAAGGCCUUUGGGUUGUAAACCUCUUUUAUCAAGGAGGAAGUUCUGACGUGUACUUGAUGAAUAAGCAUCGGCUAACUCCGUGCCAGCAGCCGCGGUAAGACGGAGGAUGCAAGUGUUAUCCGGAAUCACUGGGCGUAAAGCGUCUGUAGGUGGUUUAAAAAGUCCACUGUUAAAGAUUGAAGCUUAACUUCAAAAAUGCCGUGGAAACUUUUAAACUUGAGUAUGAUAGGGGUAGAGGGAAUUUCCAGUGGAGCGGUGAAAUGCGUAGAUAUUGGAAAGACCACCAAUGGCGAAGGCACUCUACUGGGCCAUUACUGACACUGAGAGACGAAAGCUAGGGGAGCAAAUGGGAUUAGAUACCCCAGUAGUCCUAGCUGUAAACGAUGG
rnacentral:rRNA from 1 species